rnacentral:rRNA from 1 species
AUGGCGACGGCGACGACGGAAGGCCGUGGGCGACAGAGAGCGAGUCCGGACCGCCUCCCCGUGCCUCCCCGCCCCAGCUCUCGGUCCCGCUCCCGCUCCCGGUAUCGGCAUCGCGCGCCGCCUCGCCACGCUCCCGGGUCCCGGCAUGCUCAGGGCCGUCCCCGCGCUGAGCCGUACAAAGGAAGUCCACUUGCAGCUUUCCUGUACUUGUGUGCGGCGCUUGGAGUUGCCGUCGCCAUUCGGCUGUGCGCAAGUCCGCCGCCUUCGUACAGCACGUUGCGGGCCUACCGAGGCCUCGCCGCCGCGGUCGUCGGCGCUCUCAUCAUCGUCCUUUUUCUGAGGCAUCCUCCCCGCUGGGCGGAUCAGGAAUACCCUCAUGGACCUAAUCAGAUCCCGGCGGCUCCGGCUCCGCAGAUUCAAACGGAGCAGCCACGCCUCGCUCCCACGCUCUCCAUCACCAUCACUGGGGGCGUACUGGACGCGAGCCAGGUUGCUGCUGCCAUCCGCAGCUCCAUGGCAGACAGCACCCGUCCGACUCCCGCCUUCAGUCCACCCCAAGCUGAUUCCUCCGAUUCCGACUCCGACGGGUGCGGGUCAAGCACCAACGGCGACGAGACCAAUAACUUGUGGUAUACUCCCGUCCAUCUCCUGAAAGCAGGGGAUGUCUGUCUCAUCCUCCCCGUCUUCAUCCAGCAGCUCCAAGAGAUGGCUCCAGGGUUAACCGAAGCUGAAUCCCUUGAAUUGCUGCUGAGAGCGUUCAGAGAAGCCAACAAAUCUGAGAGAUUCCACAGAUUGUCCGACGUUGUUGAGGAGAACCAACAGAUUAUCUAUUCGGAUCCUCAUGCGUUGACAGACAAAUCGACAGGGGCUUUGAUCAUGACGAUGAAAAUUACUGCAAAACUUGUACAUUUGAUCUGGUACGAAUUAGAUGUGCAGAAUUGGAAGCUAUGUCAGGAAGUCAAAAAGGUAUGCUUUCAAGAGGUUGUUGGGCAAUCUGUAGAGAAGCUCCUUGAUGUUGCACUUUCUUUCAGCAAUGAAAGUUGGUCUGCUGAUCAUCCUUUGCCAAUGCUGACUACCUUUGAUGCGCUUGUCGAUGUCCAACAUAACAUAAGGGAAUUGCCUUUCAGCAGAAUCGAGUAUAUUCCUGAUGAGGUCGCUGAUAUACCGGACUUGCCCUGCAGCAGAUAUGAGUCCAUACAUAAUGUGGUUGCUCAUAUUUUUUGUAAGAUGGUGGUUGAUUUGAAAGGAAUACUUGAGGGGACUAUCAAUGACAUGCAUAUCAGCAGAGAACGUGCUAUACAUCCAGUAACUGCUCUUCUUGUACGAUACCUGGAAUUUUUCUAUCGUAACGGAGAGAUGAUGCAGUCAGUUCUUGGCACCGGGGAUUGCACUAUUGAGCUUAUCAUGAUUGGCUCUUGGGUCUCCAAGCUCACUGAAGAUGCAGAGGUAAUGUUCCCAGGGAAGGGACAAAGGUGCAUAUACAUGUUGAAUAACAUGGAUUAUGUUUAUCAACUGAAGCAUCAUCCUGGAGGAUUCCUUUCAAAUAUAGAACUGCAAAGGGGUCUCUGUUCGCUGAUCCAUCAAUACAUUAAGGCCUACCUCGAGGAAUACUGGUUUCCACUUAUGCUGUCAUAUCUGGAUGGUGAUUCUCUGAAGAAGCCACGCCGUUCAUCCUUGUAUAAAUUCACUGAAGAGUUCUUUAGAAUCUGUGAUGGCCAGAUGACAUGGAAAGUUCGCACUAAGCUUAAACAGAGACUGCGUGAACAGAUAGUGGAAUUGAUUGUUCCAAAAUAUGUGAACUUCUUAGAGGCGCUGCAGGACAAUCCAAGUUCUUGGUUGAAGAGGAUGUGCCGAGCCAGAUCUGAGAAACUGGUCUGCACUGCUGCGCGACUGGAAGAGGUGAUCAGAGGGCUCUUUGAAAGAUAG